CGUGCCUAACACAUGCAAGUCGAGCGGGGACAUGGUGAAGUUUUUAACUAAGCUGUGUUCUAGCGGCGGACGGGUGAGUAACGCGUGAGCAAUCUGUCCCAGACAGGGGGAUAACAGGUGGAAACAUCUGCUAAUACCGCGUAAGACCACGAGGUCACAUGAUCUUGAGGUAAAAGGAGCAAUCCGGUCUGGGGUGAGCUCGCGUCCGAUUAGCUAGUUGGUGGGGUAACAGCUCACCAAGGCGACGAUCGGUAGCCGACCUGAGAGGGUGAUCGGCCACAUUGGAACUGAGAGACGGUCCAAACUCCUACGGGAGGCAGCAGUGGGGAAUAUUGGGCAAUGGGCGAAAGCCUGACCCAGCAAACGCCGCGUGAGGGAAGAAGGCUUUCGGGUUGUAAAACCUCUGUCCUUGGUGACGAAAAAAAUGACGGUAGCCAAGGAGGAAGCCCCGGCUAACUACGUGCCAGCAGCCGCGGUAAUACGUAGGGGGCAAGCGUUGUCCGGAAUGACUGGGCGUAAAGGGCGUGUAGGCGGCCGAUUAAGUCUGGAGUGAAAGUCCCGCUUUCAAGGUGGGAAUUGCUUUGGAAACUGGUUGGCUUGAGUGCGGAAGAGGUAAGUGGAAUUCCCAGUGUAGCGGUGAAAUGCGUAGAGAUUGGGAGGAACACCAGUGGCGAAGGCGACUUACUGGGCCGUAACUGACGCUGAGGCGCGAAAGCGUGGGGCCCAAAAAAGGAUUAGAUACCCCGGUAGUCCACACUGUAAACGAAUGAUACGGGGGCUGUCGGCGAUACACAGUCGGUGGCCAAGCGAAAGCAUUAAGUUAUCCACCUGGGGAGUACGACCGCAAGGUUGAAACUCAAAGGAAUUGACGGGGGCCCGCACAAGCGGAGGAACAUGUGGUUUAAUUCGAUGAUACGCGAGGAACCUUACCCGGGCUCGAACGGUGCAUGAAUAUACGAGAGAUUGUAUAGUCCUUCGGGACAUGUAUCGAGGUGCUGCAUGGUUGUCGUCAGCUCGUGCCGUGAGGUGUCGGCUUAAGUGCCAUAACGAGCGCAACCCUUGUCAUUAGUUGCCAUCAGGUCAAGCUGGGGACUUUAAUGAGACUGCCACCGUAAGGUGUGAGGAAGGGGGGGAUGACGUCAAAUCAGCACGGCCCUUAUGUCCGGGGCGACACACGUGUUACAAUGGGAGGUACAGAGGGCAGCUAUCCGGUGACGGAAUGCUAAUCUCCAAAACCUUUCUCAGUUCGGAUUGGAGUCUGCAACUCGACUCCAUGAAGGUGGAUUCGCUAGUAAUCGCGCAUCAGCCAUGGCGCGGUGAAUACGUUCCCGGGCCUUGCACAAACCGCCCGUCA
rnacentral:rRNA from 1 species